rnacentral:rRNA from 1 species
UACGUAGGGUGCGAGCGUUAUUCGGAAUUACUGGGCGUAAAGCGUGCGCAGGCGGCUUACUAAGUCAGGUGUGAAAGCCCCGAGCUUAACUUGGGAAUGGCGCUUGUGACUGGUAGGCUGGAGUGUGGCAGAGGGAGGUGGAAUUCCACGUGUAGCAGUGAAAUGCGUAGAGAUGUGGAGGAACACCGAUGGCGAAGGCAGCCUCCUGGGCCAGCACUGACGCUCAUGCACGAAAGCGUGGGGAGCAAACAGG